AUAUUCUGGUUCCUUUUAAGAUCAAAUAAAUCUUUUGCCUUUUACUGAAGAUUUCUGUGGAGAGGAAUAGUCUGAGUUUUUGAUCAAUUUUUCGAAGCCUAACUUUAGCAAAACU
ensembl:snRNA U5 U5 spliceosomal RNA